rnacentral:rRNA from 1 species
CCCCACACUGGAACUGAGACACGGUCCAGACUCCUACGGGAGGCAGCAGUGAGGAAUAUUGGUCAAUGGCCGUAAGGCUGAACCAGCCAAGUAGCGUGAGGGAAGACUGCCCUAUGGGUUGUAAACCUCUUUUAUGCGGGGAUAAAGGUGUCCACGUGUGGAUGUUUGCAGGUACCGCAUGAAUAAGGACCGGCUAAUUCCGUGCCAGCAGCCGCGGUAAUACGGAAGGUCCGGGCGUUAUCCGGAUUUAUUGGGUUUAAAGGGAGCGUAGGCCGGUCUUUAAGCGUGCCGUGAAAUUUUGUGGCUCAACCAUGAGAGUGCGGCGCGAACUGGAGACCUUGAGUGCGCGGAAGGCAGGCGGGAUUCGUGGUGUAGCGGUGAAAUGCUUAGAUAUCACGAAGAACCCCGAUUGCGAAGGCAGCCUGCCGCAGCGUUACUGACGCUGAAGCUCGAAAGCGCGGGUAUCGAACAGGAUUAGAUACCCUGGUAGUCCGCGCGGUAAACGAUGGAUGCCCGCUGUCGGCGAUAUACAGUCG